rnacentral:hammerhead_ribozyme from 1 species
AUUCAACUGACGAGUCCCAAACAGGAAGAAAUGCGCAUCCUGGAU